rnacentral:rRNA from 1 species
GUGAAACAAGAUACAGGCUAGCGGCGGACGGGUGAGUAACGACGUGGGGUAACCUGCCCAAGAGAUCGGGAUAACACCUGGAAACAGAUGCUAAUACCGGAUAACAACAGAUGAUGCCUAUCAACUGUUUAAAAGGAUGGUUCUGCUAUCACUCUUGGACCGGACCUGCGGUGCAUUAGCUAGUUGGUAGGGGUAAACGGGCCUACCAAGGCGAUGAUGCAUAGCCGAGUUGAGAGACUGAUCGGCCACAUUGGGACUGAGACACGGCCCAAACUCCUACGGGAGGCAGCAGUAGGGAAUCUUCCACAAUGGACGCAAGUCUGAUGGAGCAACGCCGCGUGAAUGAAGAAGGGUUUCGGCUCGUAAAGCUCUGUUGUUGGUGAAGAAGGACAGGGGGUAGUAACUGACCUUUGUUUGACGGUAAUCAAUUAGAAAGUCACGGCUAACUACGUGCCAGCAGCCGCGGUAAAU